UCCCUGGUGGUCCAGUGAUUAAGACGUGGGCUUUCACUGCCUUGGACCUGGGUUCGAUCCCUGGUCAGGGAA
rnacentral:tRNA from 1 species